rnacentral:rRNA from 1 species
UACGAAGGGGGCUAGCGUUGCUCGGAAUCACUGGGCGUAAAGCGCACGUAGGCGGCUUUUUAAGUCAGGGGUGAAAUCCUGGAGCUCAACUCCAGAACUGCCUUUGAUACUGAGAAGCUUGAGUCCGGGAGAGGUGAGUGGAACUGCGAGUGUAGAGGUGAAAUUCGUAGAUAUUCGGAGGAACACCAGUGGCGAAAGCGGCGCACUGGACCACAACUGACGCUGAGGCGCGAAAGCUAGGGGAGCAAACAGG